UUUUUUUUUUUUUUUUUUUUUUUUUUUUUAUGGAUCACAAACUAAGAAUUUUUAGAAGAUUGAGAAACAAGGAGUAAUAUCCUGUGAUGUGAAAAUUGUAUGAAAUUCAGAUCUCAGUGUCUGUAAUGUUUUAUUGACACAUAGCCAUGCCCAUUCAUUUAUGGCUGUGGCUGAUUUCUCAUUACAAGGCUAGAGCUGUGGUGGUGACAGAAAACUGUGUGGUUCACAAGCCUAAAAUAUUUACUACUUGGCUAUUUACAGAAAAUGUUUGCUAAUCUCUGAUACGGAGUAGCUGAUCAAUGGUAGGGCAAAGAUGCCAUGUAGGUUAAAUGCAGAUCUUGUGAUCAAUACUGAGUUGUGAAACUGGGACAUAAAAAAGUUUUUUGAUAGGCUUCAUUAGGUGAUAUUGUGAACCUUCCAAUGACAGGAAUAAAGUGAAUGAUUCUUGUCCAAUCCAAGGGAAGUUAAGAGAUGUCAAAAGAAAAUAUGGGAUAAACAAUUCAAAUGAAUUGAGCCAGUAUUAGGACUCAUGGUUGUUCAAAAAAGGGACAAGUCUGGGUAGACCACGGCAACCUAGGGUAGUUAGUAAGAUGAAUCAGGCUUUGUGACUGGGCAGAAUCUAAAUCCUUGUAGAGUCUGUCAAGGGAUUUCCCCUGCCUUACUUUUUUUUAUGGCCACUCCCGUGGCAUGUGGAGGUUCCUAGGCCAGAGAUUGAGGUUCAGCUAAAACCGCUUCAACACCGGGGGAUUCCACUUUUUAAAUUGUGGUAAAAUACACAUAAACAUGAAAUUCACAUUUCAACUAUUUGAAAGUGUAGAAUUUAGUGGCAUUUUGUAUAUUCACGAUGUUGUAUAACCAUAACCCUCACCCACUUCCAGAAUAUUUAUGUAUUUUCAUCACACCAAAAGGAGGCCCCAUAUCCUUAAUAAAUAGUACCAUACCUUAAUAAACAGUUAUGCCCCAUUCCCCUCAGCCCCUGGCAAUGGCUAGUCUGUUUCCUGUUUAUGGAUUUGGCUGUUCUGAAUAGCUUAUAUAAAUGGAGUCAUGUAGCCUUUUGUGUGUAGUUUCUUCCCUUAUCAUGUUUUCAAGACUCAUUACUUCAUCCCUUUUAUGUCUGAAUAAAUAUUCCAUUGUAUGUAUAUACUGCCUUUUGUUUAUCCAUCAAUUGAUGGGCAUUUGGAGGUGAUUCCAUGUUUGGUUAUCAAGAAUAGUGCCACUAGGAGCAUUCAUGUACAGGUUUUUGGUUGAAAACCUAUUUUCAGUUCUUUCCUAGGAAUGAAUUGAUGGAUCAUGUGAUAAAUCUGUGUUUAGCUUUUUUUUUUUUUUUUUUUUGGCUUUGCCCUUGGUGUGAGAAAGUUCAUGGGCCAGGGAUUGAACCUGUGCCACAGCAGCGACAGUGCCAAAUCCUUAACCUGCUGUACCACAGGAGAACUCCUGUUUAGCUUCUUUUGAAGUUCCAAACUCUGCUUCUCAGCAAGGUCCCUUGCACUUUCAUAUGAAUUUUAUGUUAGCUUUUCUGUUUUCGCACAAAAAGGCUGUUGAGAUUUUGAUAAGGAUUGCAUUGAAUCGGUGAUUUGGAGAAUAUUGCCAUUUUAAGACUUAAGCCUUAGAAUCCAUGAACAUGAGAUGUUUUCCCACUCAGCAGUGAUUUAUGGUUUUCACUGUACAGAUUUUCCAUAUCCUUGUUUAAAUGUAUUCUUAAGUAUUUUAUUCUUUUAGAUGCUAUUGUAAAUGGAAUUGUUUUCUUAAUUUCCUUUUUAAUUUGCUUAUUGAUAAUAUGUAGAAAAAGAACUGAUUUUGGAGUAUUGGUCUUGAAUCCUGCAACUUUCCUGAAUUUGUUCAGUAGUUCUAAUACUUUCUUUAUAGAUUCUAUAGGAUUUUUUUUUUCUUUUGUCUUUUUGCCAUUUCUUGGGCUGCUCCCACGGUAUAUGGAGGUUCCCAGGCCAGGGGUCAAAUUGGAGCUGUAGCCACCGGCCUAUGCCAGAGCCACAGCAAUGCAGGAUCCGAGCCAUGUCUGCAGCCUACACCACAGCUCACAGCAACGCUGGAUCCUUAACCCACUGAGCAAGGCCAGGGAUCGAGCCCGCAACUUCCUGGUUCCUAGGUGGAUUCGUUAACCACUGAGCCACAAUGGGAACUCCUAGGAUUUUUAAUAUAUGCAAUCAUAUCAUCUGCAAAUAGAGAUGGUUUAACUUCUUCCUCAGUUUGAAUGCCUUUAUUCAUUUUGUCUACUUGCUCUGGUUGGAAUUUCCAGUAUAGUGUUGAAUAUGAGUGGCCAAAGCAGGCACCCCCCCCUUUUUUAAACCAUCUUAAUCUUUUUAAGUUUACAGUUCAGUAAUGUUUUAAGUUUAUCCACCCAGAUGUGCAAUCAACCUCCAAAACAUUUUUAUCUGGCAUUGCGCAAAAACUCCUCAUUCCCGUUUGUCCGCUAGCCAGUGGCAACCUCCAUUUUACUUUCUGUUUCUAUGAGUUUGACUACUCUUGAUACGUCAUAUAAUUGAAAUCAUACACAACUUGUUUUUUUGUGACUGGCUUAUUUUACUUAGCGUAAUAUCCUCAGGUUUGAUCCAUGUUGUAGUGUGUGUCAGAAUUUCUGUUCUUUUUAAAGGUUGAAUAAUACUCCAUUGUGUGUAUAUAUCACAUUUUGUUUGUUCAUUCAUCUGUUGAUGGACGUUUGAUUUGCUUCUGCAUUUUGGCUACUGUGCAUAGUACUUCUGUGAACAUGGGUGUGCAAAUAUCUCUUUGAGACUCUGUUUUUAGUUCUUUUGGAUAAAUACUAAUAAGUGGUAUUUCUGGAUCAUAUGGUAAUUAUAUUUUCAAUUUUUUGAGGAACUACCAUACUGUUCUCCAUAGCAGUUACACCAUUUUAUAUUCCCACCCAGUGCAUAAGGGUUCCAAUUUCUAUACCUCCUUACCAGCGCUUGUUAUUUUCUUUUUUGAUCAUAGCCAGCAUAAUUGGUAUAAAGUAGUAUCUGAUUAUGGUUUUGAUUUCUAUUUCCCUAAUGAUGAGUGAUGUUGAGCAUAUUUCUAUAAGUUUGCUGGCCAUUUAUGUAUUUUCUUUGGAGAAAUGUCUGUUCAAGUCCUUUGUCUAUUAAAAUAAUUUUUUGUUGUUAUUUAAUCAUAGGAGUUCUCCUCACAGAGCCCCCAGACAGAUCAAAAUACAGUUCUUUGAAACUAAGGUACAUACAGGCAUAUCUUUGUUUUAUUGCGUUUUGCAGAUAUUGUGUUUUUUAUAAAUUGAAGGUUUGUGGCACUCCUGCAUUGAGCAAGUCUGCACCAUUUUUCCAACAAAAUUUGCUCAUUUCUUGGUAAUUCUCACAAUAUUUCAAACUUUUUCAUUGUUAUAUUUGUUAUGGUGGUCCAUCAUCAUUGACUCGAUGUUACCAUUCCAAAAAUAUUGUUAUUUGCUGAAGUCUUAGAUGAUGGUUAGCAUUUUAUAGCAAUAAAGUAUUUUUAAUUAAGGUACAUAUAUUUUUAAAGAUAUAGCACUAUUGCAUACUUAAUAGACUAGAGUAUAGUGUAAACAUAACUUUUAUAGGCACUGGGAAACCAGAAAAUUCAUGUGACUCGCUCUAGUGCCAUGGUCUGAAACUGAAACCCACAAGAUCUACAAGGUAUGUCUGUAUUGACCACUCUGGCACCAGCAAGCCAUACCACAAAUGCUCUUGUUUUAAAUUUUUUAUUAGAUUGCAGAGUUCUGAAAAAUUGAUUCUAGUUUAAUUGUUGCUUUACUGGAGGGAUGAUGUUCUGGAGUUCCCUAUUAUGUUAUUUCACCCCAAAAUUCCAACAUCAGUUUUUUUCCCCAGUUUUAUUAAAAUAUGAUUAUUGCCAAAAUAUCAGCUGCCUCUGUACACCAGUACCAAAUAGAAACACAGGGACAGAGAUGAAGGAAACAGAAAAAGUAGCUGUAAUUGCCAGGCAAAGAGGAGAACAUAGCAGGCUAGUGCCUUAAGGACUUACUAUAGCUUUCUAACAUGCUUUGAAAUCAGGGAGCAUGAUGCCUCUCACUUUGUUCUUUCUCAGAAUUGCUCUUUUUGGGGUCUUUUGUAGUUCCAUAUACAUUUUAGGACUUUUUUUUCUACUUUUAUCUUUUACCUCCUUGGUUAAAUUUAUUCCCAUGUAUUUUAUUGUUUUUGACUUUAUUGCUAAUGGUAUUAUUUUCUUAUUUAUUUUCAUAUAACUAAUGUAUAGAAACACAAUUAUUUUAGUAUGUUUAUUUCAUAUCUUGUAACGUCACUGAAUUCAUUGAUUAUUUCUAACAGUUUUUUUUGGAGUGUUUAGAAUUUUCAGUAUAUAAAAUCAUAUAAUCUUUAAAAAUGGGCAAAAGACCUGAAUAGGUAUUUUUCCAAAGAAGAUAUCAAAAGCAAGAGCCUACAAUAUGCUCUCUACAAGAGACUCACCUUAGGGCAAAGGACAUACAUAGAUUGAAAGUGAGGGCAUGGGAAAAGAUAUUUCAUGUCAAAGGAUGAGACAGGAAACCACGAGUUGCAAUACUCAUAUCAGACAAAAUAGACUUUCAAAUAAAGGCCUUAAAGAAAGACAAAGAAGGACACUAUUUAAAAUCAUGUGAUCUUUAAAUCGAGAUAGUUUACUUUUUCCUUCCAAUUCUUUUUUUUGAGGUUUUGAAAAUUGAGAUAUAUUUAAUGUAUAAUACUCUGUAAGUUAUAGGUAUACAGCAUCAUGAUUCACAAUUUUUAAAGGUUAUAAAACUCUAUUUAUAGUUGUUAUAAAAUAUUGGCUAUUUUCCCUAUCUGUACAAUAUAUCCUUGUCGCUUAUUUACUUUAUUCAUAGUAGUUUAUAGCUUUUAAUAUUCCCUACCCCUCUUAUGCGCCUCCCCCUCCCUUCUCCCAUGGUUAAGGACUAGUUUGUUCUCUUAUAUGUGAGUCAGUUUUCUUUUUUGUUAUAUUCACUUGUUUGUUUUAUUGUUUAGAUUCCACGUAUAAGUGAUGUCUUACGGUAUUUGUCUUANUUGGAUUCGUUAACCACUGCGCCACAACGGGAACUCCAAAAUUUCAUUAUUUUUUAUGGCUGGGUAGUAUUCCAUUGUGUAUGUGUAUCUGUCUAUCUGUGUGUGUAUAUGUACACACACAUAUAUUUACACACACCAUAUCUUCUUUAUCCAUUCAUCUGUUGAUGGAACUUAGGUUGCUUCCAUAUCUUGACUAUUCUAAGUAAUGCUGCUAUGAACAUUGGGGUGCAUUAUCUUUUUGAAUUGGUGUUCUCAUUUUUUUUUUUCCAGAUAAUAUACUCAGGAGUGGAAUUUCUGGAUUAUAUGGUAGUUCUGUUUUUAUUUUUUGAGAACCCUCCAUCUUAUUUUCCACAGUGGCUGCACCAGUUUACAUUCCAACCAACAAUGUGUGAGGGUUCCCUCUUCUCCAUAUCCUCGACAUUAUUUAUUAUUUGUAAUCUUUUUGAUAAUAACCAUUGUGAGAUAUCCCAUUGUGGUUUUAAUUUGCAUUUAUUUAAUGAUUAACAAUGUUCAGCAUCUUUUUGUACACCUAUUGGCCAUGUAUGUGUCUUCUUUGGAAACAUAUCUAUUCAGGACUUCUGCCUAGUUUUUAAUGGGGUUGUUUGUUGUCUUUACUAUUGAGUUGUAUGAGGUAUAUAAAUAUUGUGGAUAUUAACUCCUUAUUGGUCGUAUCAUUUGCAAAUAUUUUCUCCCAUUUAGGGGUUAUCUUUUUUUUUUUUUGAUGACUUCCUUUGCUGUGCAAAAGCUUUUAAUAGAUCCCAUUUGUUUAUUUUGUUUCCUUUACUUUAGGAGACACAACCAAAUAUAUAUAUAGCUACAAUUUAUGUCAAAAAGUCUGUUCCCAGAAUUCCUGUUGUGGCAUAGCAGAAAUGAAUCUGACUCGUAUCCAUGAGGAUGAGGAUUCAAUCCCUGGCCUUGCUCAGUGGGUCAAGGAUCCGGCAUUGCCAUGAGCUGUGGUGUAGGUGAAUCUGGCAUGGCUGUGGCUGUGGUGUAGGGCGGCAGCUGUAGCUCUGAUUCAACCCCUAGCCUGGUAACUUCCAUAUGCCACACCUACAGCCCUAAAAAAAAAAAAAAA
rnacentral:lncRNA from 1 species